GAUGAACGCUGGCGGCGUGCCUAAUACAUGCAAGUCGAACGAAACUUCUUUAUCACCGAGUGCUUGCACUCACCGAUAAAGAGUUGAGUGGCGAACGGGUGAGGAACACGUGGGCAGCCUGCCCAAAAGAGGGGGAUAACACUUGGAAACAGGUGCUAAUACCGCAUAACCAUAGUUACCGCAUGGUAACUAUGUAAAAGGUGGCUAUACUACCGCUUUUGGAUGGGCCCGCGGCGCAUUAGCUAGUUGGUAGGGUAAAGGCUUACCAAGGCAAUGAUGCGUAGCCGAAUUGAGAGGUUGAUCGGCCACAUUGGGACUGAGACACGGCCCAAACUCCUACGGGAGGCAGCAGUAGGGAAUCUUCCACAAUGGGCGAAAGCCUGAUGGAGCAACGCCGCGUGGGUGAAGAAGGUCUUCGGAUCGUAAAACCCUGUUGUUAGAGAAGAAAGUGCGUGAGAGUAACUGUUCACGUUUCGACGGUAUCUAACCAGAAAGCCACGGCUAACUACGUG
rnacentral:rRNA from 1 species